rnacentral:rRNA from 1 species
AAUGAACGCUGGCGGCGGGCCUAACACAUGCAAGUCGAACGAGCGACGGGCGGGUGAGGAAUGUCUGGGAACCUGCCUGAAGGAGAGGGAUAACUGCUGGAAACGGUAGCGAAACCCGCAUAAAAUCAGAUGUGGCCAGAUGGGGUUAGCUAGUAGGUGGGGUAACGGCUCACCUAGGCGACGAACCCUAGCUGGUCUGAGAGGAUGACCAGCCACACUGGAACUGAGACACGGCCCAGACUCCUACGGGAGGCAGCAGUGGGGAAUAUUGGACAAUGGGCGAAAGUCUGACACAGCCACGCCGCGUGUGUGAAGAAGGCCUUCGGGUUGUAAAGCACUGUCAUCGGGGAGGCGUUAUCUGCAGAAGAAGCACCGGCUAACUCCGUGCCAGCAGCCGCGGUAAUAC